CCUACGGGAGGCUGCAGUGGGGAAUAUUGCACAAUGGGGGAAACCCCGAUGCAGCGACGCCGCGUGAGUGAGGAAGUAUUUCUGUAUGUAAAGCUCUAUCAGCAGGGAAGAAAAUGACGGUACCUGCCUAAGCAGCCCCGGCUAACUACGUGCCAGCAGCCGCGGUACUACGUAGGGGGCAAGCGUUAUCCGGAUUUACUGGGUGUAAAGGGAGCGUAGACGGUUAAUCAAGUCAGAAGUGAAAACCCAGGGCUCAACCUUGGGACUGCUUUUGAAACUGAGGAGCUAGAGUGCAGGAGAGGUAAGCGGAAUUCCUAGUGUAGCGGUGAAAUGCGUAGAUAUUAGGAGGAACACCAGUGGCGAAGGCGGCUUACUGGACUGUAACUGACGUUGAGGCUCGAAAGCGUGGGGAGCAAACAGGAUUAGAUACCCUAGUAGUC
rnacentral:rRNA from 1 species